GGGGGGGGGAGCUAUAAUGCAGUCGACGCUUCUUUCCUCCCGAGUGCUUGCACUCAAUUGGAAAGAGGAGUGGCGGACGGGUGAGUAACACGUGGGUAACCUACCCAUCAGAGGGGGAUAACACUUGGAAACAGGUGCUAAUACCGCAUAACAGUUUAUGCCGCAUGGCAUAAGAGUGAAAGGCGCUUUCGGGUGUCGCUGAUGGAUGGACCCGCGGUGCAUUAGCUAGUUGGUGAGGUAACGGCUCACCAAGGCCACGAUGCAUAGCCGACCUGAGAGGGUGAUCGGCCACACUGGGACUGAGACACGGCCCAGACUCCUACGGGAGGCAGCAGUAGGGAAUCUUCGGCAAUGGACGAAAGUCUGACCGAGCAACGCCGCGUGAGUGAAGAAGGUUUUCGGAUCGUAAAACUCUGUUGUUAGAGAAGAACAAGGACGUUAGUAACUGAACGUCCCCUGACGGUAUCUAACCAGAAAGCCACGGCUAACUACGUGCCAGCAGCCGCGGUAAUACGUAGGUGGCAAGCGUUGUCCGGAUUUAUUGGGCGUAAAGCGAGCGCAGGCGGUUUCUUAAGUCUGAUGUGAAAGCCCCCGGCUCAACCGGGGAGGGUCAUUGGAAACUGGGAGACUUGAGUGCAGAAGAGGAGAGUGGAAUUCCAUGUGUAGCGGUGAAAUGCGUAGAUAUAUGGAGGAACACCAGUGGCGAAGGCGGCUCUCUGGUCUGUAACUGACGCUGAGGCUCGAAAGCGU
rnacentral:rRNA from 1 species